GAACGCUGGCGGCGUGCUUAACACAUGCAAGUCGAACGGACAGGCCCUGCUUUUGUGGGGUGCUCGAGUGGCGAACGGGUGAGUAACACGUGAGUAACCUGCCCUUGACUUUGGGAUAACUUCAGGAAACUGGGGCUAAUACCGGAUAGGAGCUCCUGCUGCAUGGUGGGGGUUGGAAAGUUUCGGCGGUUGGGGAUGGACUCGCGGCUUAUCAGCUUGUUGGUGGGGUAGUGGCUUACCAAGGCUUUGACGGGUAGCCGGCCUGAGAGGGUGACCGGCCACAUUGGGACUGAGAUACGGCCCAGACUCCUACGGGAGGCAGCAGUGGGGAAUAUUGCACAAUGGGCGGAAGCCUGAUGCAGCAACGCCGCGUGCGGGAUGACGGCCUUCGGGUUGUAAACCGCUUUCGCCUGUGACGAAGCGUGAGUGACGGUAAUGGGUAAAGAAGCACCGGCUAACUACGUG
rnacentral:rRNA from 1 species